UGUGUCAGAAAUAAAGUAUGUUUGUUUCCCAUAACUCAAUGUUUCAGACCUGUUGACACAGCUGAAAGAAGCAGGAGCUGAUCUGAAGGAUGUGUAUGAUAACCUGAGCAAGUGUCAAACAACAAACAACAGCAACGAGCUUGAAGAUCAGCUGAAGCAAAAGGAGAAGGAACUUUCAGACCUGAGAGACAGUAAUGCUGACCUGUUGUCGGAGCUGAGAGAAAAAGGUGCUGCUUUGGAAGAACUGUAUGAAAACCUGGCCAAGUGUCAAACAACAAAUAACAGCAACGAGCUUGGAGAUCAGCUGAAGCAAAAGGAGAAGGAACUUUCAGACCUUAGAGACAGUAAUGCAGAGCUUGAAGAUCAGCUGAAGAAGGACAUUUCAGAGAUGACACACAA